rnacentral:rRNA from 1 species
AGUGAACGCUGGCGGUAGGCCUAACACAUGCAAGUCGAACGGCAGCACAGUAAGAGCUUGCUCUUACGGGUGGCGAGUGGCGGACGGGUGAGGAAUACAUCGGAAUCUACUUUUUCGUGGGGGAUGACGUAGGGAAACUUACGCUAAUACCGCAUACGACCUACGGGUGAAAGCAGGGGAUCUUCGGACCUUGCGCGAUUGAAUGAGCCGAUGUCGGAUUAGCUAGUUGGCGGGGUAAAGGCCCACCAAGGCGACGAUCCGUAGCUGGUCUGAGAGGAUGAUCAGCCACACUGGAACUGAGACACGGUCCAGACUCCUACGGGAGGCAGCAGUGGGGAAUAUUGGACAAUGGGCGCAAGCCUGAUCCAGCCAUACCGCGUGGGUGAAGAAGGCCUUCGGGUUGUAAAGCCCUUUUGUUGGGAAAGAAAAGCAGCAGGUUAAUACCCCGCUGUUCUGACGGUACCCAAAGAAUAAGCACCAGCUAACUUCGUG